rnacentral:rRNA from 1 species
GACGAACGCUGGCGGCGUGCCUAAUACAUGCAAGUCGAACGAACCGCGACUAAGUGCUUGCACUCAGUCAAGGUGAGUGGCGAACGGGUGAGUAACACGUGGGUAACCUACCUCAUAGUGGGGGAUAACAGUCGGAAACGACUGCUAAUACCGCAUAGGACAUAGGAUCACAUGAUCCAGUGAGGAAAGGUGGCGCAAGCUAUCGCUAAGAGAUGGACCCGCGGUGCAUUAGCUAGUUGGUAGGGUAAAGGCCUACCAAGGCGAUGAUGCAUAGCCGACAUGAGAGGGUGAUCGGCCACAUUGGGACUGAGACACGGCCCAAACUCCUACGGGAGGCAGCAGUAGGGAAUCUUCCGCAAUGGACGCAAGUCUGACGGAGCAACGCCGCGUGAGUGAAGAAGGUCUUCGGAUCGUAAAGCUCUGUUGUUAGAGAAGAACAGCGCAUAGAGUAACUGCUAUGCGUGUGACGGUAUCUAACCAGAAAGCCACGGCUAACUACGUG